rnacentral:rRNA from 1 species
AUUGAACGCUGGCGGCAGGCCUAACACAUGCAAGUCGAGCGAGCGGCGGACGGGUGAGUAAUGUAUGGGGAUCUGCCUGAUGGAGGGGGAUAACUACUGGAAACGGUAGCUAAUACCGCAUACCAUCAGAUGAACCCAUAUGGGAUUAGCUAGUAGGUAAGGUAACGGCGUACCUAGGCGACGAUCCCUAGCUGGUCUGAGAGGAUGAUCAGCCACACUGGGACUGAGACACGGCCCAGACUCCCACGGAAGGCAGCAGUGGGGAAUAUUGCAAAAUGGGUGCAAGCCUGAUGCAGCCAUGCCGCGUGUAUGAAGAAGGCCUUCGGGUUGUAAAGUACUUUCAGUCGGGAGGCAUUACCGACAGAAGAAGCACCGGCUAACUCCGUGCCAGCAGCCGCGGUAAUUC